AUGGCGCUUUUAAUGCUGUUUCUAAGAAAUCAUCACCAAACCCAAGGUCACCUAGCUUUUCUCCUGUGUUAUCUCCUAGAAGUCCUGUGGUUUUGAACCUUACAGAAAUUUGGUUGGUAACAUUAUAGAUACUCCUCAUGUGCUUGGAAUGCCUCUCAUUAUCUUCUUCAGGUUGCAAGGGCUCCAGAAUAGUGACAUAAAGCUCAUGGAGUCCUUCUCCAGCUCCCUUUCUUUCUGACAUCACCCUCUCCUGACAACUAGAGAAACCACUGGCAUGUGUGCAGUGAUGUGAUUAAAUCCAGUUUACACAGGAGAGGAAGAAAGUAACAGGUAUCAUCAUGGAGAAAUGACCCACAUGAGGGCUGAGACUCUCCAGCAGUUUCAGCAGAGGAAACUCCCUGAAGAAUGGAGGAGCUGAGAUCCCAGGCUGGGAGAGCAGGCUUGUGUUAAGCAUUACUUAAUCUUUAUGUGCUCCCUGCCCCAAUCUACCAGCCAGUGAAUGACAACUGACUGAGCAUAAAUACUAGGACUGC